rnacentral:sRNA from 1 species
GAAAAACUUCUGAAGCAGUUUAUGAAGAGGCUGGAAGACUUAGCAGGCUCAUGUGUCCAUGCAGAUAGGUGCAGAUGGUCACAACUCCGGAGUACGGCAGGCUGUUGGAAUCCAGAAUGUGAGCUGGAACUAUGACCAGUCUGCUGUUGUGGCUACUCUGCAUUUAUCAGAGGCCACAGAAAACAACGUAGCCUGGCAGAGAUUUCUUCCCUCUGGGCCUAUUGCUCUGCUCCCGCUCUCAGACACCUUGAGUUCCUUGGUUUGGUCCACGUCCCAUGAACAUGCAGCAGAGCUAGUUACCAUGGAUGAGGAAAAAUUUGUGGAUGCCGUUAACUCUGCCUUUGUGAGUAUCAAUUUACCCAGCUGAUGAUGUGUUGCAGGGGGAGAUACAGAAAGGUGUUUUUUUUUUUUUUUUGAAACGGAGCCUUGCCAGGGUGGAGCGCAGUGGCACGAUCUUGGCUCACUGUGCAAUCUCCGCCUCCCGGGUUCAAGCGAUUCUCCUGCCUCAGCCUCCCAAGUAGCUGGGACUACAGGCACGUGCCACCACGCCCAGCUAAUUUUUGUAUUUUUAGUAGAAAUGAGGUUUCACCAUGUUGGCCAGGCUGGUCUCAAACUCCUGACCUCAAGUGAUCUGCCUGCCUUGGCCUCCCAAAGUGCUGGGAUUACAGGCGUGAGCCACUGCACCCAGCCAGAAAGGUGGUUUUGAGUCAGGAAAAAGGAGUAACCAGUCAGCUGUCCCUUUGUACUUUGUAACUAUAAUGCUUGGUCUGGAUUAUGUGGAGGAGUGUAUACACGGAAAUGCAAAACAAUAGAAAUAAUAAAUAAUAACCUUUUGAGGGUUGUGGGCUGCUGUUAGGCUGACUGAAACAGCUGCCUGGGUGGUGGUUAGCAUUGGCCUUUUUUUGAAGCUGUAACACUUGGAUUAUUUUGAACAGUUCUACUAGGUUGCAGCUACCUGAACCUUUCAAGCCUGAUUCAUUGGAAGUAUUCCUAGGGAAAGGCCGAGCGAAUUUCAGCAUGGGGCUUAAGAGUAAGCUUAGUAGAUAGAUGUGGGUUCAAAAAUGAACAGGUUCUACCUGUUCAUUUCCUGGAAAAUGUAAAUAGUAUCACUAACUGCUCAGGAUUGAAUAAAGACUUUCAAAAUGAGAGAACUUUUGUAAAAUCCAUGGAACAUCUUUAGUACAUUGUAGGUGCUCAACAAAUACUAAUAAUUCUGGAGUAGACACAGCCUUUGGAUAAUAUGGGUACCAGUAUUACUUUUGGAGCCUAAAUGACACUCAAAGCCUGCUACCUUCACACCAAAGACUCCACUGCUGUGUAGUAGCAACAAGAAUAAAGGGAACUGAACAUACUGAAAUGGAUUCCGAGAUAAAUGGUGAACACUACCCUACUCUGGGCCAUUUAGUAUAUAUUCCUGGCACAGGUCUAGGUCCUCUGCAGUGCAGUCAUUCACCAUUAAUUGUCCUUUCUAUGUAGCAGGCUCUGGAGAUACUGAGAACAGUCUCCGCUUUCAGGAAGUUCAUAGUCAAGUAAGGAAGACCGUAAAUGACAAUCUCCGUACAGUGAUAGAAGUAUGCAUAGGAUGCUGUGGAAGCAUACAGGGGGGAAACACAGAGAAAGACUGGAGGAGUUAAAAAGAGGCGACGUCUUCUGGAUGCUCUGAGAUGUUAUCCUAAUGAAAUAGAGACGGGCAUUCUAAGCAGAGGAGAGUCAUGGAGGUA